AUUGAACGCUGGCGGCAUGCCUUACACAUGCAAGUCGAACGGUAACAGGUCUUCGGUUGCUGACGAGUGGCGAACGGGUGAGUAAUACAUCGGAACGUGCCCGAUCGUGGGGGAUAACGAGGCGAAAGCUUUGCUAAUACCGCAUACGAUCUACGGAUGAAAGCGGGGGAUCUUCGGACCUCGCGCGGACGGAGCGGCCGAUGGCAGAUUAGGUAGUUGGUGGGAUAAAAGCUUACCAAGCCGACGAUCUGUAGCUGGUCUGAGAGGAUGAUCAGCCACACUGGGACUGAGACACGGCCCAGACUCCUACGGGAGGCAGCAGUGGGGAAUUUUGGACAAUGGGCGAAAGCCUGAUCCAGCCAUGCCGCGUGCAGGAUGAAGGCCUUCGGGUUGUAAACUGCUUUUGUACGGAACGAAAAGCCUCUUUCUAAUAAAGAGGGGUCAUGACGGUACCGUAAGAAUAAGCACCGGCUAACUACGUG
rnacentral:rRNA from 1 species